rnacentral:rRNA from 1 species
CCUACGGGAGACAGCAGUGGGGAAUAUUGCACAAUGGGGGAAACCCUGAUGCAGCGACGCCGCGUGAGUGAAGAAGUAUUUCGGUACGUAAAGCUCUAUCAGCAGGGAAGAAAAAAAGUCCUUUGGACUUUGGACGGUACCUGAAGAAGAAGCCCCGGCUAACUACGUGCCAGUAGCCGCGGUAAUACGUAGGGGGCAAGCGUCAUCCGGAUUUACUGGGUGUAAAGGGGGCGCAGCCGGCGAUGCAAGCCAGAAGUGAAAGCCCGGGGCCCAACCCCGGGACUGCUCUUGAAACUGCGUGGGUGGAGUGCAGGAGGGGCAGGCGGAAUUCCUGGUGUAGCGGUGAAAUGCGUAGAUAUCAGGAGGAACACCGGUGGCGAAGGCGGCCUGCUGGACUGCAACUGACGUUGAGGCCCGAAAGCGUGGGGAGCAAACAGGAUUAGAUACCCCAGUAGUC